UAGCUUUGUUGUCGAGCUGACAUUUGAAACAAUAAAUAAUGAAACUUAUAUCAGUAUAAUUGCUGCAAUAUUCUCUAUGAUAUUGGACAAGGUUGCUGCUGACGCAAAUGAGUUUUCAGGUAUAAAAAUGUCCAUUUUUCGGUGAUUGGUACGCAGAAGCUCACAGAAAUUCAACGAAGCAUUACUGGAUAUAAAAUAAAAAAAUGUCGAAAAUAAUUUUAUUAUUAUCAAUUUUCGUAUUGAUUGGUCUCUAUGUUGGUGCAGCUACAGCUGCAGGCUGUGAUGGCCAGUGGUGCCAUCCAUCAGAAGGAUACAAGUGUUGUGCAGGACAUUCAUGCAGUUCGUACGCUUGGCAAGGUAAAUGCAAAAAUGAUAAUCAAGCUGAAGCAGAUCAAAUGGCGGCAGCACCCACGGGAAAAUAAUUAUAACAUACAGUGAAGAUUAAUAAAUGCAUUGUAUCAAUUAAUAAAAAUCUCUUGUUGACAAACAAAACUUUACUGUACGUGUUUUCAUUCUCAAGAGAUGUUUCUGAUAUUCUUUAGAGGGAAUAAAAAAGAUCAUGCAAAGAUGG